GACGAACGCUGGCGGCGUGCCUAACACAUGCAAGUCGAACGGAGUGGCGAACGCGUGAGUGACACGUGGGUGACCUUCCCUGCACUUCGGGGUAAACCUGGGGAAAUGGGUCUAAUACCGGAUAGUGUGGGAUGGGCCCGCGGGCAAGCAGUUGGUUGGUGGGGUAAUGGCCUACCAAGGCGGCGACGGGUAGCCGGCCUGAGAGGGUGGACGGCCACAUUGGGACUGAGACACGGCCCAGACUCCUACGGGAGGCAGCAGUGGGGAAUAUUGCACAAUGGGCGGAAGCCUGAUGCAGCGACGCCGCGUGGGGGAUGACGGCCUUCGGGUUGUAAACUCCUUUCACCAUCGACGCGGUAGAUGGAGAAGAAGCACCGGCUAACUACGUGCCAGCAGCCGCGGUAAUAC
rnacentral:rRNA from 1 species